GUGUGCAAAAAAAGAAAAAUUUAUUUUAAAGAAAAAGAUUACACGAUAUUUUUUAAUGCAUAAGUAUGAAUUAAUUGAUUAACUAUCUAAAUUAAUUUAAUUUUUUCUAUAAAUAUUAACGGUCUAGAUUUUCUUAAACGCGCGGUAAAGAUUGCAUAAGUUAAAAAAUAUCCCACUCAACACCCAAAAAUAAAGAUUUCACUAUAAUUAAUAUUUUUACAAUGAGAAGAAUAAUAAAAAAAUACAAAUACAAAAAAUUCAAGCUUUCUUUGAAUGUCAUUUCCGACGAGUAUUCCCGAGAACCUAUACAAACACUUGUAAUAAAAAUAUUAGUAACGAAAUAAUUACAAAAAAGCAUGUGCACAUGUAUGUAUUUAAAAAAUAUAAAUAUUAUUAAAAAGCAGGCUCAGAUAAAGUUUUUUAAAAAAUAUAAAAAUUUCAUUAUUGCCCGAAUUUAUUCAUUUUAUUAUGUAUUUGUAUACGUAAUAUUCAUCUUUUAUUUGCAGAGGCCUCGAAAUUGAUGGAGAUUUUCUUCAUAGGCCAAGUGUCAACCUUUGAUAUAAAAUAAUAAUUUUGAUAAAAUAAAAUCCGUCUUUUGUAAUGGGAUGACCUCAAAUAUCCAAAUGGAGAAAUAAUUUUACUGGCCAACCGUCGGCCCUUAAGAUAAAAUAAUAAUUUUGAUAAAAUAAAGUCGUCUUUUGUGAUAGGGUGGCCUCAAACAUCCAGACGGAGAGAUAAUUUCAUUGACCAAAUAAAAAAGUUAAAUUUAAAAUAAAAUUUAUCUUUAUAAUAGGUAGACCUCGAAAAUUCAACCGAGAUAUUUUAUCAUUAUCAAUUAAACUAUUCAAUAUCCAACUAAAAUAAAAACUAAUAACAGAUCAACAAAACACAACUCAAGAAUUACAAAACAGAAUGAUAAUGUAAACAUUAUAACAAUUACGUAGGAAAAUGACAGUACAAAAAACUAAAAAUAAAAAUUAAAUCAAAUAUGUUUAAAAAUAAUGAAAGAAGUUGCAACAACACUAAGAGAAAAUAACAUUCUAAUAUUAACAUUAAACUUCGAACAAAGAAUCUCAAAGUAAAAGGUAUUAACAUUGUCAUAGACAUAAUUGAUCAAUUCAAGAACAAUUUGAAUAUAUGUAGACCCACAUGUAACAAUACGAAAAAUAAAAGUUGUGGAGGUCAAAUCUCGACGGGAUCUGAAUUUUACCGGAGUUAUGACUUGAGAUUACCGAAUUUUGUACUUCUCAGAUGUCGUUGUUGUUUGCCGUGGAGGUUGUUUGGGGAUGGAUAAACGGAAAGAAAGGAGGGAUGGGGGCGGCAGUGGGCUGCCGGACUUGAAACAGUGUACGGCGGCAUUUCGGUUGCUGGUUCUUCGGAAUCACUGGUUCGUUGUUGUCUGGAGCUCGCCGGUCAUCAACUCCAGCGAUCCAAUGGUGGAGCAGCGGGUAGAGGAGAAAGGACGAGCGGUGGUGGCGUUUUGGUGGUUUUUCGACGGUAAUGAAGGGAUGUAGGGAAGAAAGACAGAGAGGAGGAAGGGGGUGUGGUGGUGGUGCUAUCGGGAAAAAUCCACCAGAGCUCCAGUGGUGGUGGGGCGGCAGUGAAGGGAAAAGGGAGAGAGAAAAGACGAGAGAAAGUGAUGAGAGUGAGUGGGGAUUUGGUUUGUAUGUCGGUGUGUUAGUGUAUAAUACAUUAGUAUGUGUUUGUGUGGUGAAUGAGUAUUAAAAAGGAAAAUUAAUAAUAUAAAAAAAUAUAUUAAAUUUAUUUUUAUUCAAUAUAUUCCUUAAAUUUGGGAUAGUAGGUAAAAAUAAAGUUAAAAAAAUUAAAAGUGAUAAGACUUUUGACUUGACUAAUUUGUUAUUCUGUAUAUUAAAAUAAUUA
rnacentral:lncRNA from 1 species